UUGGGAUUUAGAAAGAAGGGGGAAAGCCAUUCCAUAUUCUCCCCUCCUGCCCACCCCCUGUAGAUACCACAUUCACAUCCUAGGAUUCAUGUGUCUGCCUGCUUAUCCGUGAUCCAUCUUGGAUUGAUUGCUCCUGCACUGAAGGCUUUUCAACACACUCACACUUUCUCAUUUCAGUACUUGCGUCUGCUCUGCUCAGUGAGGCCUCUUUGGGACACUUUGCAUGAAAGAUGCCAUUUCCACUAGAUGGAGCUCUGGGUUUGUGAACUGGUAAAGACUGGGUUGACCAGCAAUCUUCAAAUGCACUUGCCUUGUUUCCUUGGCCAUUGAGUUGAAGAGAAACACAGCUUCUAAACUGCAGCCACCAGCGGUUCUGCUCCCCUGACCAGCAAGUCCCCCCAGUGGUACUCAGGCCUGAGAUGCCUGGAAGAUGCAAGAGGAAACUGUCUUCAUUGUUUUUCAAUGACUGUCAACUAAUUCCAAUAGCCACAAGUGAAUGAUCGAUCACCAAAGGAUGUUGGAGUAGAGCAUUUCACCAGAGAUUAUUCGGGAUCAAACUUCCUACAUGUGGAUCAUCACCACCUUUGGAAAGAUACCAAGCAUGGAUACAUUUUUGACUGCAGGAGCAGAAAGUGAAUUUUGGAGACAGUCAACAGAAGAAUGAUGAGUGCCCUCUGCAGAGUCACAGCCCUGCUGUACUGAGAGCUGUACAGACACAAACUAAGAGAUAAUUCCUUCCUCACAGAUUUGGCCAUCUAGGUGAAGACCAGAUGCAGCAGAGUGGUCUUGAGCUGAGAUUAUCCAUGUGGGUCUGAGUCAGUUAAGCUUCCCCUUUUGAACAACUGCAUCCUUUGUUUACACUGCCCAGAUCUUCCACUGAGCAACCAGCCCUUCCCAGGAGCAGCUCUAACAUUGGUAGCACCUUUUAGGGAUUCAUGCAGUGAUUCAUAUCAACAGUUCAAGAGUCUGGUGCACCAUUAUUUACAGAAAACUACCCCUCUCUCUUCCGUUGUUUAUUUGCUUUGCAUCAACCUGUUAAAACAACAUGCUACAGAUCUUCUCAAGGGGAACAGGAAAGUGGAGAAAUGUUACACGCUGCCAGAAAUCUGACUUUCUACUUUGUCACAAGAUCCUCUGUUUGGGAAUCCAGGGUUGAAAGAAGUAGCUCAUUGGACACAGAAUGAUUCUCAUGUGACUCAUUCCUGUUCUGCAAGAUGCACAACAUCAAGCAACAACCCCAAAACAAACUUACAGGAACUGAAUGUGCUGGUCUUCGAGGAAAAGGGUCGAGUGGGCUCAGUUUCACUCCUUUUGGGGAAUUAAUCAGGCUAAGUGCCAACUGAAAAAUGCCUGCAGCUAAAGCCCUAUCUACAUUGGGCCAGGAACAAGAGGGAGCUGUAACUAGCCAGCCUCUGACUUGGUUGCAGUUUGGGUGGCCAAUGUAAAAGCCACAUUAAAAAGAGUGUUCUAGGAAGAAUAUUCAGUGGAGUAAAUCUGUAGCUGGCAUACUGCGGAUCUGGCUCCAUUUAAUUCUAUUCUACACAACUUCUCGUUGAGUCAUUGGCAUAUUAUCUGAAUUCCUUCAAGGGGUAUGGUGACCAACCCGGCUAAUAUUUGGUCACAUGUGGUUUCUUCUCUCUUUCAUCUGCUCCCCAGGGGGAAAAUUGUGUAUGCAGUAUAGUGCUUUCUUUUAGUAGUGUUUUCUCUAUUUGUGUUUUUUUUAGCUGGUUAGUUUGUUUAAACUGCAACUGAACAAGUAGCGGAGACAUUUUUUUCCCUGUGAAUAUCUGCUCAAUUUCAAAAGAAAAUUCUGAUCUAACCACAUUUGCAACCCUUUCACAUUCAGAGGAUAUCCAUCUGCUCGGAGGGUCUAGCAUGAAUACUUGAAUAUCUGAGAAGCCUGAAUUUCAAACAAUAUUUUGAUUGUUAACAUUUCUAUUCGUACUGCAUCAGCUGCAACUCAGUAAGUCAAAUUACACUGUUUCUGUUCGCUUGGUCACCAACUUAGCAAAAAUUUUCUGCUAUUUGAUUGUAAAAUUUACAGUUCAUGCUUUCUUCAUUGCAUAAAUAAUAUAUCCAAUCAGUACUGCGAAACACUAUCACGUGAUUUUUCAAAUUAGCUAGUACGGAAUGAACUAACAAUAUCUGCAACAAACCCUUGGCCAAGAUUUACUUCUUACGUGAAUCUGUGAAUAAUUUCAGUAAAACCGAACAUUUGAGAAUUUCACAAUCUGCCCAUGGACAAUUUGCAAGUAGAAAGAAUGACAAAAUUAAGCUAAUAAGAAAAUCAUUGGGAAACAUUUGUUCCUCCUUUAGCUAAACAGUACUUGGCCUCAUCCAAGCAUCUAACAGAAAUUUCUGAGACAGAAGAUAAGCUUUAACAAGCUGAGUCUUACAAAAAAUAAAUAAAUAAACCCUAUAAAAACCUGUACGAGGUCAGGAGAUGACUUCUGCCAAAUGUGAAAUUAAUAUAAACACAUAAGGAUUUUCCUUUUGUUUUUGUUUAAAAAAUUCUGGCCUGAACCCUGCUUAUUCAGAUAAAAUUUUCAUUAUGUUUCUAUAGUGCUUAUAAAGAGCUGCGAAGUGAGAGAACAUUCAUACCAUGCUAUUUCUCCUGCCCAGAGGUCCUUAAGAGCUCUCACUUUCUUUUCUACUUAGACUUCAUGCUUUAUGCCUUAAAAGGGAAAUAGCAAAAAUAAGGAGUCUAAAAGUUUCAUGCAUUUAAACAAGCAUCCAGGCUAAUCCCCACAAGACUGCUCUUUUUUGUUUUUCACUUAGGGUCUGUCAACAAAUUUGCCCUAAAUCAAUCAUGUUAAACAGCAGUUCUCUUAACACUGGGUCACUGGCGAAACCAUGUUAAAAUCUGGUUUUCCUAGAACAUUGCUUAUGGUGAGCUUAAAGAGUUUCCAGACUUGGUUCCUUUUCUAGUGUGAAAAAAGAGGAAUGAAAACCCACAAAAACAGUAAGGAUGUCUUCUGCACUACCGGCUUAAUUUCCAGACAGUUACAGAACAACUCAUUGGUGGGUGGUGCAGUUUAGUGGUAUGAUGGCAUCCAGACUGUCUCAGCCAAUCACCAGAUAGUUGGUUUUCAUUCAUAUACAUCCUGUAAUUCCACUGGUUAAGUAAACAGAACCCAAUACAUGGCACACGUAUACUGGUUAGCUGAAUUCAGACCACAUCAGCACUGAGAAAACUGCUGAUUUUGAAAGAGGAGGGAAAAAUAACAUAGCCGUUCCUUCCCCAACCUAGGCUUCCUCCUGACAAGACAGUGAUAAAAAUGGCUGGCCCAAUCUUUAACAUCAAUCGCAAAAGGUAUGGUCAAUGGCUUAACCAUGUUUUCUUAGAUGGCUGCUGACCACAACUGAUGGCAGCUGACCACAGUUUCUGCAUCAGCAAGACAACUAUUUUUCAACAGCAGCUUAAGGAGGAAGGGGGGUUGUUGGGUUUGAAAGAGCCUCAAACACAGUAGUUUUGUCUGCGUUGUGCAUACAUAAGCUAUGGUGUUUUGUGAGGCAGACAGCCAAAGUCCAAGUGCUUUCAAUUAUCCAGGCAAUGGGGUGGGAGAAAGAGGGAGGUGCAGGGAAUAUAUGCACAGCUGUUCUUCUUGAAACUGUUAAACAAAAUGAACUAGUAAAGGUCUAACACCUCCAAAUAUUGUAUUUUAUUAAAGAUUCGUACCUAAUAGAACGUGAUCCUCCUUUCCUGACAUUAAGAGAGCUUUUAUAAACCAAUAUAAGGCACUUACUAAUAUCUCUGUUACUCACAUUCUCUUCUUUUUCCUUAGAGCUAACCCAGUCUGUCUCAGUAUCUUGCUCUUCUGUAUUUUCCCUAUUUGUAAGUAACUUUGCUCUCAGCUCUUAGAACACUACAGGCAAAACCAAAGACAAACAGACUGUGCCCUGCUGCAGUUUGCAGUAUUCAUGAGAAAGCCACUGCCACCUAAAUUCUUCCUAUGGCUUGGCCCCAAAACAACAACCAAGACACACUGCUAGGUAGCUUGCUCCUUAGUAUUUGGCAACAGUGAUAUCUGUGCCUCAGGAGUCCAUUAGAGCUACCACCUAGCACCGUCUUCCAAGAAAAUUAGCUGCCUCAAAAACCAAGACACAUCCAGAAAGAACGUAACUUGGUAACCAUAACCUGCCACUGCUGAACACCACAGUACAGCCCAAACUUCAGAUUCUGGCUGCUGAGUGCAAGGUAUGGGAUCACUGAAAGCCCCAUCAUUCAUAACCCGAGGCCUGCAAUAUCAAAGCAAGGUUAAAUGACACUGGCAAGGGAAGCAUAUGCUACUGGUAGCACAGGGAGGAGGGAAGGGAAGACAGAGCUCUAGGCAGGACAAAGCUGGAAGGGAAAACUAGCUCAUAUUAGGAAUGAAGACCACCAGUCUGUACCUGCUACUUCCCAGAACAAAACAACUUACACCUAGGUCCAAAGCUGGAUAAUUUGCUAGCUUUUCAGACUGUAAGUCACACAAAGCUUUGACUUAGUAUUUCCUCCAUCUCUCCUUGCUUGCCAUCUCAAAGAGGUGAGAUAUUAGACACACCCUUGUCCUAUUUUCAGGCUGUCUCAUGAAGACACGCUAUUUUUCUAGAGACGAGAAAGGUACGAGCUGAACUUCCCCAACAUUUCAUUAUUAGUUUUAUUUAUAGGCAUUCCAUGGCGUUCAUGGCUCCAGUAUCUCAGCACCUGGCAAACAUUAAUGAAUGUAUCCUCAUAAGACCCUGUAAGGUAAGAAAGUUGAGAGGAUCAGUGACUUGUCCAAGGUCACACAGGAAGUUUGCAGCACAACCAAGAAUAGAAUUGAGACUUGAUUAGACAGAUUAUAUUAUAUGAGACUCUUCAAGGCUGGAGAGAUCAACAAGCAGAUACAGACAGACAGGUACUCAUUAGAUCCUAACAUUCCCAAAUUUGGGAAUGUUCAGUGUUGGUUCAGGCCUCCAAGCCCUGCAUUCACUCUUCCUGCCUCACUUAUGCUGAUUUAUGACAGUAUCUCCUAGCCAGGCUACUUGGAAGAGGGAAAACCUAGGGAAAAAAAAUCACAGUUCUGGUAAAAAUUCAAACAAAAGGACUAAUACUUUGCCAAGUAAUGCCAGUACAAAACCUGCUAGCCAGAAGUUCUGCCAGACAAUCUAAAGCUUCCUUUCAGAAUGCCCAUUUCUCAAAUUGCUGUGAAAAGAACGGGUGAUUUUAAGUGCUUUAAGAAAAUGCUAUUUUGUGCUGAUGCUGUCAGAACUGUGAAUAAACCAUUUUAUUAAAAAAAGAUUAUGGAACAGCUUGAUCUCAGGUUGAGAAGAAGGCAGUGUAGCAGCAACUCCGUGCAAUGCUGAUGGUUAGCAGCAGACAGAAUUAAUGUCAUUAUAUUAUGGUUGGCUUAGUCAAUUGCUCUGAUGUCACCACCCAGCAUCCUGCUGUUUCAUAAAAUGCCUUCAAAUCAGAUUGUUAUUUCAGAGGUAGCUAUGAAGUAGAGAAUUUUGGAAGUGCAAAAGUUUCCAGUGACUUUUAUAGACAAUUAAGCAAUAGCAGAAUACAAAUAGCACAAAUCAAAUUGCUGCAAAAUGUAUCGAUGAUUUUAAGUAGAAUUUUUAUGGUCGGGAAGCAUGAAAUUUAGUUUUCUGAUGACAUCACAGCUAUGGAAUAUGAUAAGAUCUAUGAUAAGAAUAUGAUCUUACAUUAGAUGCAGAUAGAAUUUUAUCUAUAGCCAUUAAGUAUAUAUAGCAGAUGGAUUUGACUUUCUUCUGAUUUACGCUGGUUUUAUAUGGGUGAAGUCAUUACUAAUUUGCAAUGGGAUGAGUAAACAAUUAGGCAUGUGCAUAGGUCUUUGUCUCUCAAUCUGUGUGUAGACAAAAAGAGUGUAAUUCUAAUCUUCACCUUGAUCAUUUAUAUCAGCAUAAAGGGGCCACAGACUACUAAUUUAGAAUGAUACUGUUUAGUCCAGUUUGAUCCCGAUGCAAACAAAUAUAUGUGAUACAGAAUAGUAGAAAAUAAAAUCUUACAAGACCUGA